rnacentral:lncRNA from 1 species
ACGAGCAGCUAAACCAACAUGACUGAAUCAAUGAAUCUAAUCAACAACGAGCAAUGGAGAUGGGCUGCGAUUCGCGAUGAAUCCAACCGGUGACAAGCUACUCAACCGACUAGUGGGUGAUGCGUAAGAAGAAGAGAAGAGAGAGGAGCCAAGUGGUGAAACCACGAGGUGGUCGUCCGGUGUCGAGCAACAAAGAUUGCAAUCAACGAUGAGCUACUCAACCAAUAAAGAUGCUGCAGCCAUUCGUUUCUAGGUAAGAAAAACAAGAUGGGUUAUUCGACUACUAGGUCAAAGAUUUUGUUUUUUCCUUCUUUUUUUUUUUCAAUUUAUAUUUUUAAUUGCAAAGAGAAUAUUUUGGAAAAAUAGAAAAAACAAUCGCCAUAGUUUUGUCUUUAGGGGGAAUGGGAUACCCCCAAACUGGAAUGAGAAUCCCAUUAAUCAAUCCUUAUUUUAUGUGGAUCCCGUGCACCUUCUUCCAUUCCCACACUCAAUUAAACAAGUAAACAAUUUCUUUAUUCUGAUUCCCGUUACUGUCUAGUAAACACUCCCAAUAGUCUAAAAGUCUAAAAGAACAGCGUGAAGUAUUCUAUUCUCUAGAUUAUAGAUGAUACAUCCCCAAAAUCGAUCCUUCUUACCAAUAUACUUACAACCCCGUAGUGUAAGAAUCUAAAAAGAUACAGAGACCGAGGGGGAAAAAAAGAAAGAAAAAAUGAAAAACAAAGUUUCUUAGGUACACACUCCACUCGGAAAAAUUAUUUAAAAAAAAAAAAUCAAAAACUCGAACGAGAGAAGGAAUCAAAACAGAUCAAAGAACAUUAGUACGCCCUAAAACCAAAUUGCUCACGCCUCACGAUCUAGAAUGAAACUCUCCAGUCUCCACACUUUAGAAGAACAAAUACAAAUGUUUAGAACACCCAUGCAGCCCAUUCAAGUUUCAACCAUUUCCUGGGCAGAGCAGCAGUAACAGCUUUAACAGAUACAGCUCCCUGGUCUGAGCUGACUCAAAGAAACCUCUCUUCAGCUCACCACUGUUAUCUUUUCAGACCUGAGCCAUCUGCUGCUUCAGUGCCUGCAGGGACUUGAUUUUGGAUUCACAAAUCCGAAGAAAUGCAGAGAGUCCUGCACGCUGCCCAGCUACAAAUUUCCUUGCAACAUCAACAGGACUCCAAGAUUUCAUAGCUUGAGAUAUCCGAUCACCAAGUUCUGCCUCAUUCAAGGAUGAGAUCAGUGUUCCAAGAAGCCGGAACACCUGCCCAGGACCGUCACCCCUGUCAUUUGCCUCAAGAGAGGAGAAUAUAGCAUCUAACUUUUCAUCCUCUGACUUCUUGAUAUGAUGCCCUAACCACUUUGCUACCUCUUCCACUACGCCACUUGUAGAUUGAACAGAGCCCCGAAUAUCAUGAGACAGUGGAGAGGUAGAAUGAUCUGCAGAUCCACUUUUCUUCUUCUUCUUUCCAGAUGGAAGAGAUGAUCGGACACAAGAUUGCAUUACAAGUGUAUGCCAAGCCAACGGUUCUGUGACAAGUUGCACCAAAACUGAAAGAUCAAGCCGUGGAUAGCAUACAAGUGACUCCAUGGAUCUGACCUCCAAAAUACACUUCUUCAGCAGUGUAUUCACAACCUGCCAAGUAGAAGGCCUGCAUCCAUUUACAUCCGGCAGCACAACUUCAUGGGAACUCAAGUUCCAUGCAUUCAAAAAUACAGCAAAAUUCAACCAACCAACCAUGUCCGCACCAAAAGCCUGCCUCACAGGUAAAAAAGUUACUUUAAUAGGGCAGCAGUGUAACUAAUGAGUCAGCAAGCAUGCAUACGCCUCAAUUACUAACUUUUCUUCAGUGGCGAAGUGUACGCACUACUUGCACUUAAGAUGUAAUCAUGAUCAACCUGAUAGAAUUUCAGCUCUUUUAAUUUCCCAGAAAAUUUUGUUAUUUUACUAAGCUUAUUUCCAUGUUGUAUAUUUCCAUGCCAAAAUAUGUCAAAUGAACUUAUGGCUUUUAAAGGGAGAGGAGAAAUAUUUUGAAAAGCUUGCUAUGCCAAAUUCAAAAGUGGUUCACCAUGUAUAUCGGUUUUGGGUACUCACCACAUAGGCAUCUUGUCUAUGUAAUUGGAGCAUUGCAACGAAAUUCAGUAACACUUACAAAAUUAAAGGAUCCUAGCAAAGCGAAGAUAUGUGCUUGUAGUCAGAAAGCCAGCAAUCACUUACCUCAGAAGAGUUCAAGCCACUAGAAACCCCUGAAACCACUUCUACUGCAUCUCUUAAAGAAAACCCCAACAUUUUUGCAUAGCGAUCAAGCAAAUACUUCAGCUCUGACGAAACUUUUGGGUCACAUAUAGAUCCAUUGACUUCAAAGUUUUCCUUGACGCAUGCUGAAACAGUCUGAAUUGACAGAUAUAUCAACCGAGGCAGAAGAGAUUUCCUCUCAACAACUCCUAGUAUAUUUGCUUCCCUUUCUUUCAUCUAGAUUUGCUCAAUAUAUAGAAAACGAUCGAAAGUUACAAAACGAAAAGGAGGGAUUAUGUGUGUAUCAUUACAAAGUCAAGGACAGAGGAUAGUACCAAGUUCUCUUUAGGACAGUAGGAGAUUCCUGCAAAUGGACCUGUGCAAAACAAUUGUCAACACAUUGUAAGAAACGAACAUAAGAAGACACCCACUAUAACACCCAACACUGUCAUACACAACAUUGCAGAAUAAAUCUUGAAAGUUCUAACUUCUAAAAGCAUACAAAUCCUAAGCAAGGAAAGUAGUAUCAUUUUUCUUCAAGAACAAAAUUCAGAGAAGAGCCACACUACACUAGACAAUAUCUUAUCCUUUUCUGACGCAUCUUUAUUUUCGUUGACUUCUAUCAUUGUCAAACAAUUCAGUUGCACAAAAUGUUACCAUACCAAAGAACUGCAAGCACAUUGGAAAGGUCCAGUGUUUUAACUUACCUAACAGAUAAUUCUUAUCUGGAGUUGGUGCCCACCAG